rnacentral:rRNA from 1 species
AUUGAACGCUGGCGGCAGGCCUAACACAUGCCAGUCGAGCGGAUGAAGGGAGCUUGCUCUUGGAUUCAGCGGCGGACGGGUGAGUAAUGCCUAGGAAUCUGCCUGGUAGUGGGGGAUAACGUCCGGAAACGGGCGCUAAUACCGCAUACGUCCUGAGGGAGAAAGCGGGGGAUCUUCGGACCUCACGCUAUCAGAUGAGCCUAGGUCGGAUUAGCUAGUUGGUGGGGUAAAGGCCUACCAAGGCGACGAUCCGUAACUGGUCUGAGAGGAUGACCAGUCACACUGGAACUGAGACACGGUCCAGACUCCUACGGGAGGCAGCAGUGGGGAAUAUUGGACAAUGGGCGAAAGCCUGAUCCAGCCAUGCCGCGUGUGUGAAGAAGGUCUUCGGAUUGUAAAGCACUUUAAGUGGGGAGGAAGAGCAGUAAGUUAAUACCUUGCUGUUUUGACGUUACCAACAGAAUAAGCACCGGCUAACUACGUG